rnacentral:rRNA from 1 species
AGCGAACGCUGGCGGCAGGCCUAACACAUGCAAGUCGAACGAAGUCUUCGGACUUAGUGGCGGACGGGUGAGUAACACGUGGGAACGUGCCUUUAGGUUCGGAAUAACUCAGGGAAACUUGUGCUAAUACCGAAUGUGCCCUUCGGGGGAAAGAUUUAUCGCCUUUAGAGCGGCCCGCGUCUGAUUAGCUAGUUGGUGAGGUAAAGGCUCACCAAGGCUACGAUCAGUAGCUGGUCUGAGAGGAUGACCAGCCACAUUGGGACUGAGACACGGCCCAAACUCCUACGGGAGGCAGCAGUGGGGAAUCUUGCGCAAUGGGCGAAAGCCUGACGCAGCCAUGCCGCGUGGAUGAUGAAGGUCUUAGGAUUGUAAAAUCCUUUCACCGGUGAAGAUAAUGACUGUAGCCGGAGAAGAAGCCCCGGCUAACUUCGUGCCAGCAGCCGCCGUAACAC